GUGAGGGAAACCUAAGUCCGCCAGGAAAUCGCCUUAUUGUCACCUCGCACUCUUAUCCUCAAUGAAAGAAGUUUGAAGAUUGAGUGUCCUACAAGGUGAUUUUCCUGCAUGGAUUGGGAGAUACUGGUAAAAGCUUUGAUUGAUCAAGAAGUGAAGAAUGGCAUUCCUUCUAACAGAAUUAUUUUGGGAGGGUUUUCUCAGGGAGGAGCUUUAUCUUUAUAUACUGCCCUUACCACACAGCAGAAACUGGCAGGUGUCACUGCACUCAGUUGCUGGCUUCCACUUCGGGCUUCCUUUCCACAGUGCCACGGGGAUUGUGACCCUUUGGUUCCCCUGAUGUUUGGUUCUCUUACGGUGGAAAAACUAAAAACAUUGGUGAAUCCAGCCAAUGUGACCUUUAAAACCUAUGAAGGUAUGAUGCACAGUUCGUGUCAACAGGAAAUGAUGGAUGUCAAGCAAUUCAUUGAUAAACUCCUACCUCCAAUUGAUUGACGUCACUAAGAGGCCUUGUGUAGAAGUACACCAGCAUCAUUGUAGUAGAGUGUAAACCUUUUCCCAUGCCCAGUCUUCAAAUUUCUAAUGUUUUGCAGUGUUAAAAUGUUUUGCAAAUACAUGCCAAUAACACAGAUCAAAUAAUAUCUCCUCAUGAGAAAUUUAUGAUCUUUUAAGUUUCUAUACAUGUAUUCUUAUAAGACGACCCAGGAUCUACUAUAUUAGAAUAGAUGAAGCAGGUAGCUUCUUUUUUCUCAAAUGUAAUUCAGCAAA
rnacentral:lncRNA from 1 species